rnacentral:rRNA from 1 species
UACGUAGGGGGCGAGCGUUGUCCGGAUUUAUUGGGCGUAAAGAGCUCGUAGGCGGCUUGGCAAGUCGGGUGUGAAACCUCCAGGCUCAACCUGGAGACGCCACUCGAUACUGCCAUGGCUAGAGUCCGGUAGGGGACCACGGAAUUCCUGGUGUAGCGGUGAAAUGCGCAGAUAUCAGGAGGAACGCCGGUGGCGAAGGCGAUGGUCUGGGCCGGCACUGACGCUGAGGAGCGAAAGCGUGGGUAGCGAACAGG